CCUACGGGAGGCAGCAGUGAGGAAUAUUGGUCAAUGGGCGCGAGCCUGAACCAGCCAAGUAGCGUGAAGGAUGACUGCCCUACGGGUUGUAAACUUCUUUUAUAAAGGAAUAAAGUGAGGCACGUGUGCCGUGUUGUAUGUACUUUAUGAAUAAGGAUCGGCUAACUCCGUGCCAGCAGCCGCGGUAAUACGGAGGAUCCGAGCGUUAUCCGGAUUUAGUGGGUUUAACGGGAGCGUAGAUGGGUUGUUAAGUCCGUUGUGAAAGUUUGCGGCUCCACCGUAAAAUUGCAAUUGAUACUGGCAGCCUUGCGUACAGUUGAGGUAGGCGGCCUUCGUGGUGUAGCGGU
rnacentral:rRNA from 1 species